rnacentral:lncRNA from 1 species
AGGUCAAAUAUUUUUAAUUCUUUCUCCUGGCCCUAAGAUAUGUUUCCAAAUCUGAUUAUCAUUUUAUGGUUCUUUUAAUGGACACAGCCUAGCUGAUAGUAUGAUGGACAGAACAUUCACUGAAUUUGGAGACCACAGUUGAAAUCUGGGUUCUGAUGCUUGCUUCCUGUGUGACCUUUGAAAGUCUUUAUAGAAGUAGCCUUGGCAUAAUGGAUGAAGUGGUGGCCUCACCAUCAGAAGGAUCUGGAUGCAAGCCCCACUGCAGAUACAUGCCAACUGUAUGACCCUGAAAACUGACACUUAAAGAGACCGAGUAACUUGCUCAACAUCACAGGGAUUCGAACCCAAGUCCUUUGACUCUGAAGCCAGUGGAGGAAA